rnacentral:rRNA from 1 species
UAUUGGUCAAUGGACGAGAGUCUGAACCAGCCAAGUAGCGUGAAGGAUGACUGCCCUAUGUGUUGUAAACUUCUUUUAUACGGGAAUAAAGUGUGGCACGUGUGCCUUUUUGGAUGUACCGUAUGAAUAAGGAUCGGCUAACUCCGUGCCAGCAGCCGCGGUAAUACGGAGGAUCCGAGCGUUAUCAGGAUUUAUUGGGUUUAAAGGGAGCGUAAGCGGACGCUUAAGUCAGUUGUGAAAGGCUGCGGCUCAACCGUAAAAUUGCAGUUGAUACUGGGUGUCUUGAGUACAGUAGAGGCAGGCGGAACUCGUGGUGUAGCGGUGAAAUGCUUAGAUAUCACGAAGAACUCCGAUUGCGAAGGCAGCCUGCUGGACUGUAACUGACGCUGAUGCUCGAAAGUGUGGGUAUCAAACAGG